UGUUAAAAGUUUCAUCUAUUUCUAUUGUUAAAAACUAGCGUGGCUGACGCAAUAACCAAAUAGUUACACUUGACAUAUCAUGUGUACCUCAUGCUAACAUAUAAGACCAAUUUUUAACAGUAGAAAUGGAUGAAAUUUAUAACA
rfam:Gossypium raimondii Chr12_contig_854, whole genome shotgun sequence.